CAAAUAAACCUUGAUAUAAAAAGGCUUACAAUUUUUCGUUUUCAAUUCACAAAAAAAUUUAUUUUAAAAAUAUUUUGAAAGACAAAUCAAACAAUAUGCCCAACAAAAACGAAUCAGGUGCAGCUGGUGGUUUGGGACAAGCCGGAAAAAGCGAAGCUAAAGCCGGAUCAGCUGGCGCGGAUGCGGGAGCCCAUGCAGGAAAAAACCAAGCCCAAGCUGGGGCCGGAGCCGGAGCUGGAGCUGGAGCCGGAUGCGGAAAACAAUGUUCCAAAAACUAAAUUAGCUAAUAGUGCAGAGUUUCAUCAACAUUCUAGAAAGAAAAUAUACAUCUUUGUUUUUAUUUAAAUUAAUUGCAAAAAU